AUACAUGCAGUCGAGCGCUAGGGGUGCUCCCUUAGGGGAGACCUCCUGGGGCGGCGGAGGGUGAGUAACACGUAGGCAACCUGCCUGUAAGACCGGGUUAACUACCGGAAACGGUAGCUAAGACCGGAUAGGUGGUUUCUCCGCAUGGGGGGAUCAAGAAACACGGUGCAAGCUGUGGCUUACAGAUGGGCCUGCGGCGCUUUAGCUAGUUGGGGGGGUAACGGCUCACCAAGGCGACGAUGCGUAGCCGACCUGAGAGGGUGAUCGGCCACACUGGGACUGAGACACGGCCCAGACUCCUACGGGAGGCAGAAGUGGGGAAUCUCCCCAUUGGCCCAGGUCUACCGAACCACCGCCGCGUGAGUGAAGAAGGUUUCGGAUCGUAAAGCUCUGUUGCCAGGAAGAACGCUUGGGGAGUCACUGCCCUGAGGUGACGGUACUUGGAGAAGAAAGCCCCGGCUAACUACGUGCAGCAGCCCGGUUAAUA
rnacentral:rRNA from 1 species